GAUGAACGCUGGCGGCGUGCCUAAUACAUGCAAGUCGAGCGAACGGACGAGAAGCUUGCUCCUCUGAUGUUAGCGGCUGACGGGUGAGUAACACGUGGAUAACCUACCUAUAAGACUGGGAUAACUUCGGGAAACCGGAGCUAAUACCGGAUAAUAUGUUGAACCGCAUGGUUCAAAAGUGAAAGACGGUCUUGCUGUCACUUAUAGAUGGAUCCGCGCUGCAUUAGCUAGUUGGUAAGGUAACGGCUUACCAAGGCAACGAUGCGUAGCCGACCUGAGAGGGUGAUCGGCCACACUGGAACUGAGACACGGUCCAGACUCCUACGGGAGGCAGCAGUAGGGAAUCUUCCGCAAUGGGCGAAAGCCUGACGGAGCAACGCCGCGUGAGUGAUGAAGGUCUUCGGAUCGUAAAACUCUGUUAUUAGGGAAGAACAUAUGUGUAAGUAACUGUGCACGUCUUGACGGUACCUAAUCAGAAAGCCACGGCUAACUACGUG
rnacentral:rRNA from 1 species